CAUGGGACGCUAGUUGUGAACAAGGUGUGAAGAGCCUAUUGAGCUACCCAAGAGUCCUCCGGCCCCUGAAUGCGGCUAAUCCUAACCACGGAGCAAGUGUCCUCAACCCAGGGGAUGGCUUGUCGUAACGCGAAAGUCUGUGGCGGAACCGACUACUUUGGGUGUCCGUGUUUCCUUUUAUUUUUAUGUAUGGCUGCUUAUGGUGACAAUCAAAGGUUGUUACCAUAAAGCAAUUUGGAUUGGCCAUCCGGUG
rnacentral:other from 14 species